rnacentral:snRNA from 1 species
GCACUCUUGUUUCUCUUCAGAUCGUAUAAAUCUUUCGCCUUUUACUAAAGAUUUCCGUGGAGAGGAACAACAAGAGUUUUACACAAUUUUUUGAUGCCCUACUAAUGCGGGGCC